CUCAAAAUAUAAAAUAUAAAAUAGAUAAUUAAAAGAUUAAAAAGCUGUGGCUAAGCUGUAGCAGUUGAAAUAUGUGCAAGCAUCAGUAAUCUUCAGUACAGAGGGAUAUUUUACCAUUGUACCUAUGUAUGCACAGAGCAGACCUGAUAAAUAAUUACUGCAACUUAUUACUUGCUAUUUCUGUUUGCCUCUACUGUUGUUAUCUUCAUAUUGCAGGUAGUUACUAGUUAAUCUUCAUGUAUACAGCUGUAUGUAGCAUGUCCCUUGAUGUAGCUAGUCCUUGACCCAGCUGGGCAUUGCUGGGUUUACUGGAGAGGGAAUCUUUGCAAAGGUUACUGCUUCCAGGUUACUGUUUCCAGCAAGUCUUUUAUGUUCUUAGAAGACCUUAUUUUAGACCCAGCUACUGUUUUCUUGGUAAGUUAAGUCUGGUAAAUAACCAGUAGUAGAUAUCCAUGCUACUUUGAUGUACCAGUUGCAGGUGGGAGUCCAAUAGAACUCGUUGGAUGGCUCAUCAGUUUCUUCCAAAAUGGCAGUUUCGCAUAUUUGCCCCCACCCUGCAGGCCCUUUUAAAUUAACCUCAGUCACUUUGGUUCCCUUGAUAUCUUGUUCUUGCUGGAACUACUCUGAGAGGGGAAUUGGGCUGGCUGACAUUAUUCGUACAAUCAUUUUAGUGCCAAUUAAGACAAUUAACUUUGUCUGGAGCAUGGCAAAGAUGAAAUGUAGAGUCAUGCUUUAAGUGUGUGCGUGCAGGUAUACAUGCAAGUAGUUAACCUCUUUAGCCCUGUUAUUUGAUUUGCUAAGUUACAGCUAUUUUGGUUUCUCCUCCUGUGCCUUCCAGCAUUCAGCCACCUCUCACAAAUGUUCCUUUAGUCCCAAGCCUCAUUAGUCUUCCUGCUGUCCCUCGGUGCCAGGAAAAGUACAGCCAGUGAUCUGACUGUAAGCAAUCUCUGUGCUAAUUUACCCUAAUAUCUUCACAGGGUAAGAUCCUCAGUCUUCACAGAACUGUUAGUAGCUGUGGUUAGUUCCCAGAGCCUGCUCCAUCUCUAGACCUUGCUGCAGCCUGCAACACAGAUGUAUGUGGAAGCCAAUUCAUCCCAAGGUCUCCUGGGGAGAAAAGCUUCAUCAAAAUGCAAGAUUGCUGUAAUGGUAGAAGAUCACGAAAUUCUUCUGUGUGUCAUGCAGAAGGGGGAAGGGGAGAAAAGAGACCAGACAAAACCACUCAGUGUAGCUGUGAAGCUUCUCUAAUUUUUAUCUCAUGCAGUUUUUAUUGCGUAUUUUAUUUCUUCUCUCACCAGCAGCUAUCUGGGUGAAAGGAGGUGUGAAUAGUGCAGUUCUUAGAACUCUGCUUUUCACACAAACUCUGACUCAAGGAGCAUUUUCUUCUCACACUUGCUAUGCUUCAUCUCUGGCAGAAAUGCAGCCUGGUGUAUCGGGUGUAGCUGUGCAUUAUUGGCACCUCUGAUUUUUCUAGAAACAAAUCAGGAGGAUGUGUCAGUGUUUUACAGCAUUUCCUGAUGGAGUGAGGAAGCUUUCUGCAUCCACCUGUGCUCACUGGCUGCUUGUUGGUGCUCAUGAGCAGGAUCUGUGUUGAUAAUCCCUGAUGGACUGCAGGUCACUUCUUGAUCUUCCUCUGGGUGAAAAAAUGAUUCAGCCUGUAGGGAGUUUAAUCCCUUCUUUCUUGCCUGCGUGGCACCCUGCUGACGUGAACGUUCUUUGCCUCUGCUUCCAGGAGAGGAGCGUGCUGCAUGCAUUUGUGUAGGCUGAGGGAAGCAGCUCACCAAGAGGAAUCAGAUCAGAGUGCAGAGCAUGGCAUAGCAUCUCCAUACCGGCCUUUCUGCAGGGAGCUGAAAUGGGGAAGCAACUGCAGGGAGCAGAGCAGCAUGAGGUGAAAAUCUAGGGAAGUCUUCAGCUCAAGCAUCUGCUGUCUCAGCACUGGCUUGAAACUGCAGUGAUCAGCACCAGAAAGUUUGCGCUUGGAUUGUGGAACUGCUGAAAUAUAAUUGCAACCAAUGGCUUGAAA